rnacentral:rRNA from 1 species
CCUACGGGAGGCAGCAGUGAGGAAUAUUGGUCAAUGGGCGCGAGACUGAACCAGCCAAGUAGCGUGAAGGAUGACUGCCCUACGGGUUGUAAACCUCUUUUAUCAAGGAAUAAAGUCAGGCACGUGUGCCUUUUUGUAUGUACUUUAUGAAUAAGCAUCGGCUAACUCCGUGCCAGCAGCCGCGGUAAUACGGAGGAUGCGAGCGUUAUCCGGAUUUAUUGGGUUUAAAGGGUGCGUAGAUGGGUAGUUAAGUCAGUUGUGAAAGUUUGCGGCUUAACCGUAGAACUGCAAUUGAUACUGGCAGCCUUGAGUACAGGUGAGGUAGGCGGAAUUCGUGGUGUAGCGGUGAAAUGCGUAGAUAUCACGAAGAACUCCGAUUGCGAAGGCAGCUUACUAAACUGCCACUGACAUUGAUGCUCGAAAGUGUGGGUAGCAAACAGGAUUAGAUACCCUAGUAGUC